rnacentral:rRNA from 1 species
CAGCCGCGGUAAUACGUAGGGUCCGAGCGUUGUCCGGAAUUACUGGGCGUAAAGAGCUCGUAGGUGGUUUGUCGCGUUGUUCGUGAAAACUCACAGCUUAACUGUGGGCGUGCGGGCGAUACGGGCAGACUUGAGUACUGCAGGGGAGACUGGAAUUCCUGGUGUAGCGGUGGAAUGCGCAGAUAUCAGGAGGAACACCGGUGGCGAAGGCGGGUCUCUGGGCAGUAACUGACGCUGAGGAGCGAAAGCGUGGGGAGCGAACAGGAUUAGAUACCCUGGUAGUCCACGCCGUAAACGGUGGGUACUAGGUGUGGGUUUCCUUCCUUGGGAUCCGUGCCGUAGCUAACGCAUUAAGUACCCCGCCUGGGGAGUACGGCCGCAAGGCUAAAACUCAAAGAAAUUGACGGGGGCCCGCACAAGCGGCGGAGCAUGUGGAUUAAUUCGAUGCAACGCGAAGAACCUUACCUGGGUUUGACAUGCACAGGACGCUGGUAGAGAUAUCAGUUCCCUUGUGGCCUGUGUGCAGGUGGUGCAUGGCUGUCGUCAGCUCGUGUCGUGAGAUGUUGGGUUAAGUCCCGCAACGAGCGCAACCCUUGUCCUAUGUUGCCAGCGGGUUAUGCCGGGGACUCGUAGGAGACUGCCGGGGUCAACUCGGAGGAAGGUGGGGAUGACGUCAAGUCAUCAUGCCCCUUAUGUCCAGGGCUUCACACAUGCUACAAUGGCCGGUACAAAGGGCUGCGAUGCCGUGAGGUGGAGCGAAUCCUUGUAAAGCCGGUCUCAGUUCGGAUCGGGGUCUGCAACUCGACCCCGUGAAGUCGGAGUCGCUAGUAAUCGCAGAUCAGCAACGCUGCGGUGAAUACGUUCCCGGGCCUUGU